rnacentral:rRNA from 1 species
AGAAUCAACGCUGGCGGCGUGCCUAACACAUGCAAGUCGAACGAGAAAGUGGAGCAAUCCACGAGUAAAGUGGCGCACGGGUGAGUAACACGUGACUAACCUACCCUUGAGUGGGGAAUAACUGAGGGAAACCUUAGCUAAUACCGCAUAACACCUACGGGUCAAAGGAGCAAUCCGUUUGAGGAGGGGGUCGCGGCAGAUUAGUUAGUUGGCGGGGUAAUGGCCCACCAAGACGAUGAUCUGUAUC